rnacentral:rRNA from 1 species
AUGGACGCGCGUCAGACUGCGCAGGUGAAUCAGGUCGUCGGCGCCGUCGGGAUGCCGCCGCCGCAAAGCCAGACGCAGGACGCGUGGGUCGAUCCCCAGUUCGUGAUGAUGCGCGGCAGCACCCGAGACAAGAUAUUCGAGUAUAUAGGAAGGAAGCAAACCUCGGCUGAUUGGCGGAGGAGGUUACCGGAGCUCGCGAGGAGGCUUGAGGAACUCUUGUUUAGAAAAUACCCAAGCAAGGCGGAGUACUACAAUAUGAUGAAGCAGCAAAUUGAGCCGCACUUGCAGUUUGCUAUCAAGCAGUUGAGUGCUCUGAACCAACAACGACAACAGAACCAACAAUUGUCAAGACAGAUAUCAUCUUCCCCUGGCAAUGGGACGAUGAUUCUGACACCUGGUAUCACGCAAGGCACAAGUGAAACUUCUAGAAUGUCUUAUGUGACAGGCGAUAUUGGCCCUUCGUCGUCUGGUGCAGGCAUGGUUCCUCUGAACGCCAACAUGGGGGAAGCUCCUGAUCAGCAUGUGAACACACUGCUUUCUCUGGGGAUGAACCCUACACAUCAAGAUCACCCCAGAGACAGCAAUAACAACCUCAUGAUAGACACAGCGGACACACCUGCAACCAACAGAUUCUUGCUCAUGGUGAUGCAGAAAUCCCGUGCACCUCUGAAGGAGAUCCGAAAGGAACCAAAGUUUAGCUGCCCAGUCUGCAUGAAUGAGCUGGUUGAUGCGUCAUCCACCAUCUGUGGCCACAUCUUCUGCCAGAAGUGCAUCCAGGCCUCCAUCCAGGCUCAGAGCAAGUGUCCGACCUGCCGUAGGACGUUAACUAUGAACAGUUUUCACCGCGUCUACCUCCCGACGAUGGACUGA